ACCUGCUCGUGAUUCUGCUUGAGGCAGAGCAGCUCCUCCUUCAGGGACUCCACCUGCGCCUCCAGGUCAGACUUGCAGAGGGUCAGCUCAUCCAGGAUCCUGCGCAGGCUGUUGAUGUCAGCCUCUACCAGCUGCAACUCACUUGGUCCUGAAGUCAUCAGCAGCCAGCUUGGCAUUGUCAAUCUGCACCACCAGCCUGCUUCUUCUGGAGCUCCUCCAUGGUCCGGAAGUAAGACUGGUAAUCGGGGCACAUCAUUCUCCUGCUCCAGCUGGCGCACCUUCUCCAGAUAGCUGGCCAGGCGGUCAUUCAGGGACUGCAUGGUCUCCUUCUCAUUAGUCAUCAGCAGCCAGCUUGGCAUUGUCAAUUUGUAAUAUCAGCCUGGCAUUCUCAGACUUGG
rnacentral:lncRNA from 1 species